CCUACGGUGGCAGCAGUAGGGAAUCUUUCACAAUGGGCGAAAGCCUGAUGGAGCAACGCCGCGUUCAGGAUGAAGGCCUUCGGGUUGUAAACUGCUUUUAUAAGCGAGAAAUAUGAUGGUAACUCAUGAAUAAGGAUCGGCUAACUACGUGCCAGCAGCCGCGGUCAUACGUAGGAGCCGAGCAUUAUUCGGAGUGACUGGGUGUAAAGAGUUGCGUAGGUGGCAUAAUAAGUAGCUAGUGAAAUCUGGUGGCUCAACCAUUCAGACUAUUAGCUAAACUGUUAAGCUCGAGACCGUUAGGGGUAGCUGGAAUGUCUAGUGUAGGGGUGAAAUGCGUAGAUAUUAGAAGGAACACCAAUAGCGUAGGCAGGUUACUGGGACGGUUCUGACACUGAGGCACGAAAGCGUAGGGAGCAAACGGGAUUAGAUACCCUUGUAGUC
rnacentral:rRNA from 1 species